CCUUGGGGUGAGGGGAGGCUCGGGUACAGUAUUCCCAGCCAUCUCUAGCUGCACUCCACAGCAUGGCUUAAUUGGGUCCUUGGAUGGCCCCACCAUGACUCCCCAGGUGAUAAGAUGCAUCCUGUGUACCUCCUCGUACCAUUGCUGUUCUGGGCGCUGUGUUUACAAUGACGAACAAGACAGACUGGGCCCCGGGACACAAAAAGCUUACAAUCUGGAGGAAGGCUGACCAACAGAAAUAUAAUAGACCUGGGAAUCCUGAUAAUGGAAAAUGUACCACCCAGAAAUAUUUCCUGAGGCCUGAGCAUACUCACAAAUAAUAGAAUGAGCCAUGGGACUGCUAUUUAAGAACAAGGGAGAUGGGGCAGAAGAGGCCCACAGGCAUAAACGCUGCUGCCCAUCGCCAGAAUACUCCAAUGGGCAUGAACUCCAAGGUGCCAAGACUGGCAUUUCCUGACCUAGCAUCCUCAGGAGAGGAAAGCAUCUGGCCUUUUGCCCCAGUCUUGACCCUGGCUGCUGACUCCUUCCAGAGAAAAUGCGAUGGUACUACCUGCAGGCUUCAAGGACAGGAAGAGAGAGGGCAUUUUAUUUUUCUAACCACCUCAUUGCUAUCUACUUCACCCUAUGGAUCUGGAGUGAAGAACUGUCACAUGGCAGCAGCCACCACUGAACAGUGAUGAAAGGGAGGACAGAAACUCCUACUCAUCCUAUAGGUCUCUACUUGGAUGUCACCUUCUUCAAGAAGCCUUCUGUGACUUCCAAGAAUGGUCAGAGGCUCCUCUUGUCUUCCUACCUGCUUCCCCCCAAGGGCACUUACACUGUUAGGUUAUGACUGCUUGUUUGCUUACCCAUGUUCCCAGUGAGCUUCAGGGCAAGCCUGGGCCUCUCCUAUAGGGCCUUGUGUACAGGACAUGCUCAUGAAUGCUCAGAGUCCUUAGUGAAUAAAGGAAACAAACACAGCCUGGAUGUGUUCACAAAGAAGAUGAAACCCCAGGGUUCUACACUUGAUCUUAGCCAAAAGGCCAAGAAGCGAUGAAAUCCCAGGGUUCUAAAAACAGCUCACACAGUCUUAGACCAGGAAAGAUUUUGCAGCCUUGCAGCAGGCGAACCAGAGACUAGUCUGCGGGAGGUGCUUGGGGUCAGCAGCUUCAGGGAACAGAGAGGACAUGAAUCAGCGCGUGCAGGUGACCUCAUGCUUCCCCAAGGCAGGGAUCACUUUUGCAUUGCUCAAGCUUUGGGAAUCUCCCUUCCAAAACAACUCCAGGUUGUAACACAGGUGACACUUGACCAACCAACUUCUCAUCUUCUACCCUGGGUGGGAGGAGCAAUAAUCCACCAGUGCUGAUACGAAGGUGUUUCCAUUUUUUUCUUUUGCCUUUUAAUACACAGUCUGAAUUUCUGGGAUUCAGGGUUUAAAUGAAUGUCUCCUUGAGUGGGUCCCAAAAACAUUAUCUAGGAAAAUGGAUAUAUACUAACCUAUUUUGGUUUCUUUAAAGCUAAAAAUAUUAAAAAUACUCACCAUCUGUGACAAAGUGUCAUUUGGCAUUAUUAAUAGCUAAAAAGCAUUUAUAUUUAAUUGGACCAAGUUGCUCCUACCUCUACUUUGAAAGAGCAGAGCGGGCUGUGAUGGGGCCAUUGAAACUGUUAAUUUUGCUUGGCUCUGCCAUGUCUACCCCUUGGGGCCUCUUUUCCCUCUGCAUAAAAUAGGUGGUUGGUUGAAAGCCUUAAGGUUGUUUCUAUCUCUCAUAGGAUAGAAUCUAUGUUUAUUUGCUGGCUUCUUUCUUAAAAAGGUGGAAACUUUAGUCUUACUAUUUAGUUUUGCUUUACCACAGUGAGGAAUUGUAUUCAGCUAUGAGUGCAAAGAACUGAAAAAUAGUGGCUUAAACACAACAAGCUUUCUUUUCUCACAUAAAAUAAGUCCAGAGGGAGGUAGUCUGGGCUGGUGGAGUGGCUCCAAGAUGUCAUCAAGGAUUCAGGUUCCUUGUGUCUUUCGGGUCCACCCUCUUCAGCAAAUGGCUUCCAUCUUCAAAGUCCCCUCAGAUCCAAGAUGGCGAACAGCCCAGCAGCCAUCAUGACCACCUUGCAGAUGAGAAGACUAAGGAAAACGGCAAUUUACUUUUAGAAUCUUCCUGGAAGUUUCAUCCAACAUCCUUCCUAUGCUUCAUGGGCCAGAUCUUUGUCACACGGCCACAUCUAGCCUGGGGGAGUUUGGGAUAUGUGGUCCUUUUGCUGGGCACAUUGCUGCCUCAAAUAAUGUCAGGGUCUGUGAGUAGGGAGGAAGCAGAGAACGGAUGUUGGGCUGGGCAACUGAACUGAAGUCUACAGCACACUACUGUUUAACCUAAAUGAUGUGAUAAAAAUGACAAACAGUAGGAUAUAUUGGAGUAUAUGAGGAAGCCAUUUGGUGUAAAGUUGAUUAAGCCUAAUCUUAUUUUUUUUUUCCAAAAGGGCCUUGAGCAUGCAUUGUAUAUCCGCUUUAAGCAUUUCCUUUGUCCCAAAGGCAAGAACAAAUGCCCUUAAGAUAAAGGUGACACUUCCCCCACAUUAUUAUUUCCUUAAGGAUAAGUAUCUCUCCAUAGACUAGGAAUUGAUUGCUGCACUCACCUGUGACCACCCAGCUCACCUGUGACCACCCAGCUCAAGACAACAGACCUGCCACCCUGUGGUGUCCACCGAGAUGACAGACCUACUACUUGCUGUAUCCAUCAAUCGCUAUGCCAACAGAGCAAUCUCAUGACUACUGUAAAAGGGACAUUUCAAUCAUAUGUGAAACAUGCUCUUUGAGGGUAUAUAACCACUCUGUACACCCCACUUCUUUGGUGCCCUUCCUUCCCUGGUCCUCACAUUUGGCUCGGAAUAAAC
ensembl:lncRNA